rnacentral:lncRNA from 1 species
AUCAAAGCAUAGAUAAGCGCUUUGAGUAGAUGAGUAGCCGAAAAGGACAUAGGCACGAGAUCUGGGUUCCAUUUUGUGUGAGGUGUAGGGCCGAAGCCAAGGGAAGGCUUUGAGUAGUAGAGUAGCCGAAGAAGACACAGGAUCUGGGUUCCAUUUUGUGUAAGGUGUAGGGCCGAAGCCAAGGGAAGCAUUGACAGCCAAAGACACGCAGUUUGGCAAGGUUGGGGCGCCUAUGGAAGAGAGACUCAAAGGAGGAGAUCAUCGAGAGAUUUGUCUUGGGUAGACGAUUUCUAGGCAAGCCGGACCAAUCGAUACUCACAACCUAAUCACCAAUCCUAUUAUCGAGUAACAACAUGAAAUUAGCAGUUUGCCAAGUCUAUUAGCCAAAUAAAUAAAGAAAAAGUAAAAUAGCGAGCGAGAACAUUCUUGAUAGAAG